GAUGAACGCUGGCGGCGUGCCUAAUACAUGCAAGUCGAGCGAACAGAUGAGGAGCUUGCUCCUCUGACGUUAGCGGCGGACGGGUGAGUAACACGUGGAUAACCUACCUAUAAGACUGGGAUAACUUCGGGAAACCGGAGCUAAUACUGGAUAAUAUAUUUAACCGCAUGGUUCAAUAGUGAAAGACGGUUUUGCUGUCACUUAUAGAUGGAUCCGCGCCGCAUUAGCUAGUUGGUAAGGUAACGGCUUACCAAGGCAACGAUGCGUAGCCGACCUGAGAGGGUGAUCGGCCACACUGGAACUGAGACACGGUCCAGACUCCUACGGGAGGCAGCAGUAGGGAAUCUUCCGAAAUGGGCGAAAGCCUGACGGAGCAACGCCGCGUGAGUGAUGAAGGUCUUCGGAUCGUAAAACUCUGUUAUUAGGGAAGAACAAAUGUGUAAGUAACUAUGCACGUCUUGACGGUACCUAAUCAGAAAGCCACGGCUAACUACGUG
rnacentral:rRNA from 1 species